CCCAUCCGCCGCCUUUGAUGGAGGGAGAAGCUUAGCGAGCGGGUGCUCGAACUAGGACAGUCGGCGCAAAGUUCUUGGGACCGGUGAUAUUGGAAGUUCCUCACUUUGCAUCAUUGCGCGGAAAAGAAAGAGAAAUUGUUAUUUUGCGAUCUGACAAUGGUGAGACGUGGCGAGAGCACAUUGUGGAUGCUUCUGAAGACAUAGUGCACGAUAUGCUGAAUGACAGCUUUGAAGCUGAUGAUUUGAGCCAAAUGGA